AAAUAUAUUUACAACAUAUCUUGGGCUGUACAUCCCAAGUACAGCCCUAAACAUUCAGCAGCUGUGUACAGCAUUGUACACAGCUGCUAUCAUUUACAGUGGCACAAAUAUAUCAGAAAGUAUGUGUUGUAUAUGCAACACACACUUUCUGGUAUAUUGGUACCUACCAGCUCAAACCCCACAUUUACAUGCCACCCAGUUUCAGGGUGGGUGGCUGUUAUAGACUAUAACUCAUGUAGGUUUACUUUCUCCUGGACGAGAGACACAGUUCUCCUGUGUCCUCUGUGAGGACACCGCCAGCUUUGGCCUCACAUCCUUCAUCACUGUGAAGAAGGACAACAACCAACAGAUGUAGCAGCAGCAGCAGCUUAACUCUCCAUCAACAAUGGACAGACAGUCACUGUUGGACCUCACAGGGACACCUUUCCCUUCAUGCUAGUCCCAGCCAUUCUUCCAAGCAGAGGAUGAGAUAACACCUGCCUGCCUUUGCCUCACCUUCUCUCUGGCUCUAAAACUGAAAAAAUGGACCACACUGCCUGCUUUCCACCUGACAGCGCUGAAGAGUCUUCACAACAGAAGGUUUGUCUCUGCUGUGAUUACUCCACUUCACACAAUGGAGACAAUCAAAUCAAAUAAAGAAGGCUAAACAUUACAAGAAGCUGAACCUCGUGCAGUCUUCGUAAACUACUCUGUGUAAAAUGGCACUGGACAGAAAUGUUGUGUUGUCCUGCAGCAGUGUUCAAGGACCUGCUUCGAUCUCCUACGUCCACAUCUUUGGAUCCAAUGCUUUCCACAGUUCAGUAAAGCCCAACUACUGUUGACGUUUGGCAAGUGAUCAGGUGAACUGAUAAGGGAAACCAAAUUUAUGCUGAUCAUUCAUUAGUCAGUCAUCACUGUCACAGAGACAGCUCCUCCUCAAUGCAGCAUUAUUCUUUGCCCUAUACAAGUUGUAAAGGCUUCUGCUCCUCUGUGUCACAACAGUGAUGCUGUUGUCACACCAAAGACCGGCCAGAUACCUGGAAGCAGCACUUCUACAGUCCCUGGAUCAUCAAAGGUCACAAUGCUACAGCCCCUUACAUCUUCACAAUGACACUGUGCUCUGUUAAGAGUUUUGGUUUGUGCCAACAAUGGACGGACUCAACAAUUAGCAACUUAGACUGCUGACCCAAGGACACUAUGACUUUAUUUUUGGUACGUUGAUAAUUGCUAUAUACCUCAUGUAAU